UUAUUUAAAUAUAAAACCCCAACUUUUUGAAAACACAAUUCAUUCGCAAAGGAAGUCUCAAUAUCAGAGUUUCAUCAUGCAUUUUUCAACAAUCUUCUUAAUAUGUAGUGCUUUAUAUAAUUACCACCCUCCGGGUUAUAUUCCCCCAUAGAAUAAAUAAAAUGCAUUUGCGCAUACAAAAUAAAAAUGCAAGUGCAAUUAAAAAACUACCUUGUAAAUAGCUAUGCUAUGUUUUAAAAAAAACCUUAAACAUUUAAUAAAUAGUUUGGGUAAAAUAUACUCUUGAGUCUCUUUUUGGAUUUCCGCAUCAAAGCGUCUGGGUGAAAUCAUAAUCGGCCAAUUCACCGGCUAAAACUAAUCCCUCAAAUCUGCGACGAAAUUGGAUAGGAAUUUGUAUCGGCGUGAAAUCGAGUUAUAAUGAACUUGUUGGAAAUUUGAAACGGUUUCCAAGUUUCCAAUGCGAAACGUUCCAGUUUUAUUUAAAUAUAAAACCCCAACUUUUUUAAAGCACAAUUCAUUCGCAAAGGAAGUCUCAAUAUCAGAGUUUCAUCAUGAAUUUUUCAACAAUCUUCUUAAUAUGUAUUGCUUUAUAUAAUUUCCCACCCAAAGGAGUCCAUAUUCCCCCAUAGAAUAAAUAAAAUGCAUUUGCGCAUACAAAAUAAAAAUGCAAGUGCAAUUAAAAAACUAGCUUGUGAACAGCUAUGCUAUGUUUUUAAAAAAACCUUAAACAUUUAAUAAAUAGUUUGGGUAAAAUAUG